AACGAACGCUGGCGGCAUGCCUAACACAUGCAAGUCGAACGAGACCUUCGGGUCUAGUGGCGCACGGGUGCGUAACGCGUGGGGAUCUGCCCUUUGCUUCGGAAUAACAGUUAGAAAUGACUGCUAAUACCGGAUGAUGACUUCGGUCCAAAGAUUUAUCGGCAAAGGAUGAACCCGCGUAGGAUUAGCUAGUUGGUGGGGUAAAGGCCUACCAAGGCGACGAUCCGUUAGCUGGUCUGAGAGGAUGAUCAGCCACACUGGGACUGAGACACGGCCCAGACUCCUACGGGAGGCAGCAGUGGGGAAUAUUGGACAAUGGGCGAAAGCCUGAUCCAGCAAUGCCGCGUGAGUGAUGAAGGCCUUAGGGUUGUAAAGCUCUUUUACCCGGGAUGAUAUAGACAGUACCGGGAGAAUAAGACUCGGCUAACUCCGUGCCAGCAGCCGCGGUAA
rnacentral:rRNA from 1 species